rnacentral:rRNA from 1 species
AUUGAACGCUGGCGGCAGGCCUAACACAUGCAAGUCGAGCGGAUGAAGGGAGCUUGCUCCUGGAUUCAGCGGCGGACGGGUGAGUAAUGCCUAGGAAUCUGCCUGGUAGUGGGGGAUAACGUCCGGAAACGGGCGCUAAUACCGCAUACGUCCUGAGGGAGAAAGUGGGUGAUCUUCGGACCUCACGCUAUCAGAUGAGCCUAGGUCGGAUUAGCUAGUUGGUGGGGUAAAGGCCUACCAAGGCGACGAUCCGUAACUGGUCUGAGAGGAUGAUCAGUCACACUGGAACUGAGACACGGUCCAGACUACUACGGGACGCAGCAGUGGGGAAUAUUGGACAAUGGGCGAAAGCAUGAUCCAGCCAUGCCGCGUGUGUGAAGAAGGUCUUCGGAUUGUAAAGCACUUUAAGUUGGGAGGAAGGGCAGUAAGUUAAUACCUUGCUGUUUUGACGUUACCAACAGAAUAAGCACCGGCUAACUUCGUG